rnacentral:rRNA from 1 species
AUCUCUUGUGGUUGAAAGUUUCGGCGGUUACAGAUGGGCAUGCGUUGUAUUAGCUGGUUGGUAAGGUAACGGCUUACCAAGGCGACGAUACAUAGGGGGACUGAGAGGUUAACCCCCCACAUUGGUACUGAGACACGGACCAAACUCCUACGGGAGGCAGCAGUGAGGAAUAUUGGUCAAUGGACGGAAGUCUGAACCAGCCAUGCCGCGUGCAGGAAGACGGCUCUAUGAGUUGUAAACUGCUUUUGUACAAGGGUAAACCUGAAUACGUGUAUUCAGCUGAAAGUACUGUACGAAUAAGGAUCGGCUAACUCCGUGCCAGCAGCCGCGGUAAUACGGAGGAUCCAAGCGCUAUCCGGAUUUAUUGGGUUUAAAGGGUGCGUAGGCGGAUUGAUAAGUUAGAGGUGAAAUGUCCGAGCUCAACUCGGGAACUGCCUCUAAUACUGUUGAUCUAGAGAGUAGAUGCGGUAGGCGGAAUGUAUGGUGUAGCGGUGAAAUGCUUAGAGAUCAUACAGAACACCGAUUGCGAAGGCAGCUUACCAAUCUAUAUCUGACGUUGAGGCACGAAAGCGUGGGGAGCAAACAGGAUUAGAUACCCUGGUAGUCCACGCAGUAAACGAUGAUAGCUCGUUGUCGGCGAUACACAGUCGGUGACUAAGA